rnacentral:rRNA from 1 species
GACGAACGCUGGCGGCGUGCUUAACACAUGCAAGUCGAGCGGUAAGGCCCUUUCGGGGGUACACGAGCGGCGAACGGGUGAGUAACACGUGGGUGACCUGCCCUCAGCUCUGGGAUAAGCCUGGGAAACCGGGUCUAAUACUGGAUAUGACUCCAUGACGCAUGUUGUGGGGUGGAAAGCCUUGUGCGGCUGAGGAUGGGCCCGCGGCCUAUCAGCUUGUUGGUGGGGUNANGGCCUACCAAGGCGACGACGGUAGCCGGCCUGAGAGGGCGACCGGCCACACUGGGACUGAGACACGGCCCAGACUCCUACGGGAGGCAGCAGUGGGGAAUCUUGCGCAAUGGGCGAAAGCCUGACGCAGCGACGCCGCGUGAGGGAUGACG